rnacentral:rRNA from 1 species
AGUCGAGGGGUACGAUGUCUUCGGACAGUCGACGACCGGCGUACGGGUGAGUAUCGCNGUUUGUAACCUACCUUUAACUGGAGAAUAGCCCGAAGAAAUUCGGAUUAAUACUCCAUAAUACUAUGAUCUGGCAUCUUUUUAUAGUUAAAGCUCCGGCGGUUAAAGAUGGACAUGCGUAACAUUAGUUUGUUGGUGAGGUAACGGCUCACCAAGACUACGAUGUUUAGGGGGUCUGAGAGGAUGGUCCCCCACACUGGUACUGAGACACGGACCAGACUCCUACGGGAGGCAGCAGUGAGGAAUAUUGGUCAAUGGGCGAAAGCCUGAACCAGCCAUGCCGCGUGAAGGAUGACAGCGCUAUGCGUUGUAAACUUCUUUUGUACAGGAAGAAACACUUCUACGUGUAGAAGCUUGACGGUACUGUACGAAUAAGCAUCGGCUAACUCCGUGCCAGCAGCCGCGGUAAUACGGAGGAUGCAAGCGUUAUCCGGAUUUAUUGGGUUUAAAGGGUACGUAGGCGGAAAAUUAAGUCAGUAGUGAAAUCCUGCAGCUUAACUGUAGAACUGUUAUUGAUACUGGUUUUCUUGAAUAUAGUUGAGGUAGGCGGAAUGUGUAAUGUAGCGGUGAAAUGCUUAAAUAUUACACAGAACACCGAUUGCGAAGGCAGCUUACUAAGCUAUGAUUGACGCUGAGGUACGAAAGCGGGNGGAGCGAACAGGAUUAAAUACCCUG